GUCGUGGACUGAAUUCUAUCCCCCCAAAUUCAUAUAAUGAAGUCCUAAUGCCCCCCAGGAAAAGGACCUUUAAGGGGAAAAUUAAGGUUGAAUGAGGUCAUAAGGGUGGGGCCCUAAUCCAGUAAGAGGAAGAGAUGCCAGGAGUUGCGUGUGCACAGAGGAAAGGCCACGUGAGGACACAGAGGGAAGGUGGCUGUCUGCAAAUCCAGGAGAGAGGCCUCACGAGAAAGCCAUCUUGUUAGCAUCUUGAUCUUGGACUUCCGGCCUCCAGAACUGUGAGAGAACACAUUUCUGUUGUUUAAGCCCCCGGCGUGUGGUAUUUUAUUACGGCAGCCCUAGGACACGGGUACGGCUGCCAACCCAUGACUCACUUUUGUUCCCAUUCCUUUGUAUCUUCUUUCCCCUUGUCCCUCUCUGAUAAGAAAUUAAAUAACAUAUAGAUGUGGUGGUUAAAAAAACAUGUCCAUAAAUCCUUGCUAUACCUCCUUUCCAGAAGAGCUGAACUCCUCUCCCCUUGAGUGAGGGCCAGACUUAGUGACUCUCUUCUGACAAGUAGAAUGAGGUAGAAGUGACUGUGUAUGACUCAGAGGCUCAGUCAUAAAAGGCACUGUGGCUCCCUCUCUCUCUCUCAGAUCACUUCCUUUGAGGGACGCCAGCCACCAUGUUGAGCAGUCCUAUGAAUAGGCCGUUCGAUGAGGAACUAAGGCCUCAAGUCAAUAGCCAUAUGAGGGCGCCAUCUUAGAAGUGGACCCUCCAGCCCCAGUGAAGCUUUCAGGUGACUGCAGCCCUUGCCAACCUCUUGACUGCAACCUCACGAGAGACUCUGGGCCAGAAACAUCCAACUAAGCAGCUCUCAAAUUCCUGAGCAUUAUUCACAAUAGCCAAGACUUGGAAGCAACCUAGGUGCCCAUCAAGGGACGAAUGGAUAAAGAAGAUGUAGUGUAUAUAUACCCGAUGGAAUACUACUCAGCCAUAAGAAAUGAUGAAAUCUGUCCACUUGUGACAACAUGAAUGGACCUUGAGGGCAUUAUGGAGAAGACAAGCUGAAAGAUGGAAGGGUGUGAAGCAGAGCGCGGCUGAACAUAAGGACAGAAAGCGCCUAGAACCUUGCAGACACAACUGAGCGGCUGCAUCAAACCUGGCUUGCCUCCUUCCAAGCUUCUCCUUAGGUGAUCAGGAGCAAGUUUCUUACUCUCUCCAAGCCCCAGUUUCUUCACCUGCAAAGAGAAGGAGAUCAGCAGUCAGGACCCAUUCCCCAGGGCCAUUGUGAGAAAUAAAUAGCAGAACAAUGGUGUUUUUGGACAUUUCUCCAAGAGUGGCCAGAAGACCAUUGCAUCAGAUGAGCACCUGGAGUCUUGUGAAAAACACAAAUUCCAUAGACAUCCUGAAUUUUAAUCUGCAGGGGUGGCGUUGGAGGGGAUGAGAAGAGAAGCCUAGGAUUCUGCAUUUUAAAGGGGCUUCUCAGGGGAUGGUUGACUGGUAAAUUUUAGGAAUCAACUACCUAGGGAAUAGCAAAAUGUUCCCUUAGAUGGGCCAAGGCCUGGGGGAUCUAUUUCUGCUGAAGCUCAUUAAGCCACUUUGGGUUUAUGUUCAUGAGGAAACCACAACCCCAAGACCCAAGUGAGGAAUAAGAACACACAGUUUUGAGAAGAGGAAUUAAGUAAUAACCAACAAUGCUUCCACAUCUAAGAAUUUUUCUAACGUUUCUCCAGUAGGAACACCACAACACGUUUACCCUCUUUCUAUCCUUACUUUGCCUGCAGCACAAGUUUUCUUACAUAUAGAUGCUCAAAAAAUGCCCAUUACAUUGACUUGAAUGUAUUCCCCUUUGAAGAGCCAUACUUUCAACAAGUACUUUCAUAUAUUUUUUACUGGUGGUGUUUGGACAAGCUUACGUGUAUACAUGGGCAAGGGGCAGAAGCGGUGGGUGAACAAAAGUGGGUUUCAUAAACAAGGGAGAUAAAACUUAGCGAGUUCCUGAGGAGACAGGUUGUAGCAGGAAACAUAACUACAAGUUCUCAUUUUGGUUUACUUCCUCUCUUGCCUUGGGAUCUUAAGCAAGCUACUUUCAUUUCUCUAUUUCAACUGGGCCUCUUUUUUUUUUUUUUCUUUUUUUAAGGAAUAUGCUUUGUGGAAUUAUUUUAAGAAGUAACUAAUACGAGAUCGGAAAGCACCUUUUCCUCUUAGCCAAAAUUGUGCACAAGAGAAUCUCCACCAUCUGGGCCAGUUCAAUGAAAGAAGUGAAUUUUCCUUUUUUUCUCUUUCCUUCCUCCUUUCUAUAAAGUUCAUUCACUUAGUAAAUGUUUACUGAGAAUUCAUUAUAUGCUAGAAGCUGUGAAGACUUCUGGGACAGCAAACAAGACAUAGUUACUCCCCGCUAUGAUUGGAAAAGCUAGAGCAUUAAGGGUCUGAAAAGAGAAGUUGAAGGAUCAGAGAAAAGUCACUAGCCCUCCUGUAGUGCUGGCACAGGUGGGCCAGAUGGAGCUUGCAAAGUCUUCCGGGAAGCCAGGCACUUCAGCUGUCAGAGUGGAACCGUCCAGCCUGGAGACUCUGUUGGUCAGCAGGGCCUGCACUUGAGAGAAGAGCUGGGUGUAAAGCAGGGGAGAGCAAGGACAUACGGAACCUGCCACCAGUAUGGCGGAGAGUGGGGACAAGCUGGGAUAUGCCAGCCUCUCUGCGUGCUUCUCCCAGAGCAUGCUGCUUUAAGUCCUAGUACCAAAUAGGGAGAGAAUCUACCUACCAAAUCUCAUGCCAGCUUCUUUUUUUUCCAACUCUAACAUGAAUCAUGCAAGAAAGGGGAUUCUGGGAACAGUAGUUCCAACUAGUCCAAAUUAACACCAUACAUAUGAGGAGCUGGCUAAAAAAGUGAUGAAAGUUCGCCAGGAGGCCAACACACAAUUGAAAGUGGAAAAAUCAAUGUUAAGAUUGUGAGCAAAAGUGCUUGUUUAGGUCACAAGCUGUUUGUAAGUCCUCAAGACUUCUCUAAGUGGUCUCGUGUGUCAGCGCUAGAAUUGUCCUACCCACGGCAACUGCUACAUAAUGUGAGGGUAGAAGUCAGCUGGUAAAUGUAAGGCCAAUACCCCAACACAGCAACCACAGGUGCAACAGUUUAGGAAGAUCACUGGGUUUUUAUAUCUCCGGGUGACACAACAGUUAUUAACAAUCACUUUAAAUUUUAAUUUUUUGUCACAUGCAGAUUUAUGAGGUAUGGAAUGCUCAUCUGUUCAAACAUUUGUUAAUGCUUCUUGUAUGCCACAGCAAAGAAAAGUGAAACAUCCUACUGGCCUCUGCAUGAACCAAACACACACCCUUCCACCAGCUUUUGCUUACCGUACAUCAAAUUCCCUGCCCGACCGUGCCAGAUUCCCCACAAGGUUUACAAGAAAUAAAACCUGGGGAUAAGGGAGAGAGAAAGAGCCACAUGACAAAGUCACAGGCUCUGAGGUUUCAUAGACAAUCCAGAAGAACUGGUCAUAACUCCUUAAAUUAAGGUGAUUUGGUUAAAAAUAGCAGAACUUCCAGGGAACUAGCUCCAAUCUAAAGGGGGAUUUAUAAUGAGGACAGUGGCUCAUCUCACGAGACACAAGGGCAGGAAUGCAGCCAGCCUUCAUCAGGGACGGAAACCGAGAAAUGAAGUCAGGAGCACCCCAGCCCAUUUCAUUUCUGCUUCUCUCUGUGCAUUUGCUCCUUCUCCCGCCAGGCUGUUGUCUCUGUUCCUCAAAGCACAAGAUGGAAUACAGCUGCCUCUCUUGAGUUUGAAGUUAUAGUUUGAAGCCAUUGGAGACUGACUUUCUUUAAGUCCUAAUGAUGUGGAUUAAGGCUGCCCCAGCUAGAGAAGCCCAAGGUGACCUGGCCUACAUGCCAAACUAUACGACCCAGUGGACUUUUUUUAUGGUAUGAAUUAGGACCGCCCCAGGGAGAGAAGCCCAGGGCAUCCUCACCUACAUGCUGAUCUAUAUGGCCAGAUUCGUAUCUAAAGUUAUAUGACCGCACAAUAACCAGACCCCAUCUGCACUGAAAUCAUUUAAUGACUUUUUACAUCAUCUUUUCUUUUCUCCAGUAAAAAUAAGUCACGUACCCGUGCCUUAUAAAAUUAGCCCUAACCCUCAACUCGGGGCAGCAGCAGGAGCUCUGACUGCCCAUGGGUCCUGUCCCCAUGCAGCAGCAGCAGGAGCUCUGACUGCCCAUGGGACCUGUCCCCAUGCAGCAGCAGCAGGAGCUCUAACCGCCCGUGAGUCCUGUCCCCACGCACCAGCUCUGCCUGCCCAUGGGUCCUGUCCCCAUGCCAGCAGGGGCAGCAGCAGCUGCUCUGCCUGCCCAUGGGCCCUGUCCCCAUGCUAUUCCACACUAUUCUCUAAAUAAAAGAGCGCUACUGCCAGAUCUUGAGAGUCUAAGAAAUCUUUCUUUCGACUCCUCGGCUCACCGACCCCGCAUCACUAAUACCAAAUAGGGUAAGAAUCUGAUUGGUUAAACUUGGAUUCAAGGUCCUUUCCUUGAACCAAUAAGCCUUGGUGGUGGGAGAAAGGGGGAACUUCAGUACAAACCUGCAGCCAGGGCCCCAUCUCAGUGAGUGGGGGAGCACCCGGUCUCAACACACUGACUUGACUUAUAGAGGAUACAAGGUUAAUCUAAUGCCAAUCAAGUGUAUGGAGAUAAAUGACUUCCUAGGGAGACUCCAAAAAUCAAGCCUACUCUUCAGCUUCCUACAGACAGUAACAGAAACAGCAGGAGCCAAUGCAAAGUCAGAGGCCUGAAGAUAUGAGCAUUGCGGGAACUGCGGUAAAGUCAGCACCAAUUAAUCAAUGUCCGAGAGUGUAGUAGACCUUGUUGAAGGCCUCCCUGAACCAUUUCCCCUGCUUCCUUGCUGUUAGAGCUCUGGUUUUGUUCAGGUAUCUAUCCUCCUCCGCUUGCUCCUGGGCUUGUGUGGAUACUGGC
ensembl:lncRNA